UGCGUAGGCGGAAAAUUAAGUCAGUGGUGAAAUCCUGCAGCUUAACUGUAGAACUGUCAUUGAUACUGAUUUUCUUGAAUAUAGUUGAGGUAGGCGGAAUGUGUAAUGUAGCGGUGAAAUGCUUAGAUAUUACACGGAACACCGAUUGCGAAGGCAGCUUACUAAGCUAUUAUUGACGCUGAGGCACGAAAGCGUGGGGAGCGAACAGGAUUAGAUACCCUGGUAGUCC
rnacentral:rRNA from 1 species